UUUUUUUCCCUUUAAGACAUUGAGAUCAGUGUGGUUGACGAUGAAUCAGAGUCAUCGGUACAGCCAAUCCCUCUUGCCCUCCGGACAUCGCCAGUUUCAUUGUCAGACCAUCCAUCGUCCCCAGCUUCUACCAGUUCAUCAGAUUCAACUAUGAUCCUCAAAAGUACAAAGAACAGGAAGAAGGGCCUACAAGAGCUUGAUCGCGAUGAAGCGAAGCAGAAGGUGUGUAGUGUCCUGAGCUCAAACCCAAAGGGUGAAGAAAUUUUCAAUGAAUACGACAAAACUAAAACACUGUCAGAUCCAACUCGUCGACAAAUGGAGGAUUCCGCCCAUAAGUGUUCGGACUAACUAUGCACUGGGGAUUGCAACGCUUUUUCCAUAUCUCCAAGAUCCUUACUCAAAAAAUGGUUAUGAACAUUACUAUGAUCCGGAGGCUAAUACUGGCUAUCUUGCUUGGAGACUCAAGACUGUCCAACGCAAUACCUAUGAUGGUGCUAGUGGGUGUCCCAGGCCAAACUUCCAGAACAGUCCAACAACCCGAAGAGAAUCUUUGUUUGUUAGUGGACAGCUUUUUGGUGAUGAGUGCAGAGAGGCUCUGUCUGUUAUUAGACACUCAACAGAUAGGUCUGUGGUUAAAGAGAAGAUGAAAGCUACUUUUGAAUAUAGACAGAAGCUGGUACAUGACCCAGAUGCAACAUCAUCAAUCUUGGAUGUCUUCCCUCGUUUCCUUGAUACACCGGGGUUGAUUGAUCAGGAUUUUGCAAUGAUGCUUGGAGAUGAGGCCUCUGGAAGAUUUCUUACAAAGUGGUCUUCGUAUUUCAAGCAAAAAAUCAUCGCAGAAAGCCAAAGUCUUCCAUCAAGUCCUUGUGUUGAGGAGUUACGAGCAUCUUUUGAAACGGAGGCUUCAAAUGACUGGGGCUGGGAUAGUGACAUGGCAGCUCUUCUGUUGUUGCUGCAUCUCCUGCCUCCAACAUCAAAAGGCCACAAAAAAACAGCAAAAAUUAGCUCUGCACAGGCAGCCAAUCAUCUUGUGAGAUUUGUCAAGGAAGGAGUCAGCCUCACUACUUUCCUGGAGAAAGCUAACACCAGGCAGCCCUUCCUUCUCUGCAUUGGUGAGCAAAAGAAGAACAUUCAGAGGUUCUUCAUCAUUGUAGACCAGAAAGCUAUCCCAUGUGAUGCUCCAACUUCAGUGGCUGCUUUUGAUGGGCUUUUCAAAGCACACUUUGUCUUCAGCCUCUCAUAUGAUGAAGCUCUUUCCAGUUUCUACACCUUCAUUCAAACCACAAUCUACAACAUUGAUGUUGGAAACACAAAAGAAAGCCCUCGAGUCAAGGAACUGAGAGCACGUCUGCUGCGAGACCGUUAAAUGCCCACAAGGUCCACACGCUUUUAGGAGGAUUUAAAAAAAACAAAACUGUUUGACAAUGUUCAAAUGCUUUGUUUGUAAAAUGCACCACAAAAAUUGUUCAGCUCUUUGUCAACAUUUAAAAUUUCAUCAUGGUUUAUAUCCAAACAAAAAUCUGCGUUUAAAAUGUGGAGAGCAGGGAUGUCUUUCAUCUUUUUGUACUUACAAUGGCUUUAGAAAACAUCUUCAUAAUGUACAUAGUCAUUAUCACGAUAAACAUGUAGGGAUGGAACAGGAAGUUGCCCAACAAACACAUUCUCUAGGAGACUCUUUUAGUGAUCAACCAUCUACUUCUGCAUCUGUAUCACAGGUUCCCACUGUUAUUUCACAGGACUCGCUUGUUGGAAUGUGUGGAUCUAUUGUCGCUCACUUACAAGCUUCUGGUCUUACUGAAAGUGCUGUUCAAACAAUAAUUUGUUCUGUUGAGGAAGUUGUCAGUGAUGUUCAGAGUCAAGCAAGAGAAGUAGUACUCCAAACAUUUUCCCCUGAUAGUAAGGAAUCAGACAUUUACAAAAGAGUUGAGCACAAUUUAAACCAAUUAGAUAACCCCUUUUCAACAUUUAACACUGAGAAAAAAAGACAGAAAUAUUACGAUGAAAAAUGGGAAAUAGUUGAGCCUAAAGAAUUUGUACUUGGUGUAAGAUUGGAUACACGUAGACAUAGAACUACAGGGGUUUAUAGCGAAACACCUGUCAGAGACAAAUACAUGUAUGUGCCCAUUUUAGGUACGAUACAUUCAAUUUUCAAGAAUAAAGACAUUAGAGAAUGCUUCUUGCAUGAGAAACAAACACAAGCUGGGUUAUACAAAGACAUUAAUGAUGGAUCAUAUUUCCAAAACCAUCCUCUGUUUUCACAACAGAAAUAUGCUCUACAGAUUUUACUGUAUUACGAUGAUUUUGAAACUGCUAACCCAUUAGGUUCGAAG
ensembl:lncRNA